UAGGGAAUCUUCCGCAAUGGACGAAAGUUUGACGGAGCAACGCCGCGUGAGUGAAGAAGGAUUUCGGUUCGUAAAACUCUGUUGUUAGGGAAGAAAAAAUGUAUAGUAACUAUAUACAAAAGAGACGGUACCUAACCAGAAAGCCACGGCUAACUACGUGCCAGCAGCCGCGGCAAUACGUAGGUGGCAAGCGUUGUCCGGAAUUAUUGGGCGUAAAGCGCGCGCAGGUGGUUUAGAAAGUCUGAUGUGAAAGCCUACGGCUCAACCGUGGAGGGUCAUUGGAAACUAAUAAACUUGAGUGCAGGAGAGAAAAGUGGAAUUCCUAGUGUAGCGGUGAAAUGCGUAGAGAUUAGGAGGAACACCGGUGGCGAAAGCGGCUUUUUGGCCUGCAACUGACACUGAGGCGCGAAAGCGUGGGGAGCAAACAGG
rnacentral:rRNA from 1 species